UACAGAGGUCCCAAGCGUUGUUCGGAUUCACUGGGCGUAAAGGGUGCGUAGGUGGCGAGGUAAGUUUGAUGUGAAAUCUCCGGGCUUAACCCGGAAACUGCAUUGAAUACUAUCUUGCUCGAGGUUUGGAAGGGGGACUGGAAUUCUCGGUGUAGCAGUGAAAUGCGUAGAUAUCGAGAGGAACACCAGUGGCGAAGGCGGCCUCACUGGCCCGGUACUGACGCUGAGGUGCGAAAGCGUGGGGAGCAAACAGG
rnacentral:rRNA from 1 species